UUGGAUAUGGUGUAAUGGCUAACACUAGCGCGUCUCAUGCCUCGAUGAUGUUUUCCUCGCUGCGCGCUGGCUCGGGGUUCGAUUCCCCGUAUCCGAA